GGCCUGGAUGUGGCCCUGGGGGAAAAUUUCGGUGGAGGUCACUGAAUUCCUGAGAGUUUGCAGUGAGAACCAGGGAGAACAGUUGCCUCGGAAUGGGUGUGGGGGAGGGUGGGAGGAAAGAGUGGUGAGGGCAGACAUGGUGGGGGUAGGUGGGGUAGGGCUGGGAUCUGGGGUGCGCAUGGGGGCGGAGGCCAGUCCGGAUGGACACAGGAGCCUAUGGAGCGCGGAGACUGUGUGAAGGUGCAGGCGGUCGCCAGCAGCAAGGGGCACUCAGCAGCUCUGCAUCCCUGGACCGGAUCCCUCUCCCAGCCAGGCCCACUCCUUAGCCAGUCCGGAAGCUUGGAAAGACAGCGUGGGAUCCUGAGCCAGCCCUGGUCCUGCCAUCAGACAGACCUUGGUCAUCCUCCAGCUGGGUGACCGUGAGCCAGUUACCAAGCCUCAGUUUCCUCUUCUGUAAUACAGUCCAGAUGCCUGACCCUGCGCCCACCUGAAAACGACGGGUCCAGAGCCACAGACAAGCUCUGAUGCAGCCGAGGCUUGGUCCUUGACUUGCCAGCUGAGACUACAACUAACAGUCCCACAGAACUUGGCCCCAUCAGCUCGCUGUAUUCCGAAGCCCAGGAAAAGGCAGAUGCUUCUGCUGUGAGUUGAUAGACAGAGGCAAGAUGCUGCCCCAGGAUGUAUUCUUCAUCUGAUUGUCUGAAAUCCCAUCUUCAGUGCUCUGUUUCUACUGCUCAGGGGUUUCUUGGGCCACAGCCUCACCUUUGCCCAUCCCCCUCAGUUGGGAAUUGUCUGAAUUAAGAGUUAAAAAAGGUCAGAUCUUGGAAGGAUUGAGCCUCCUCUCCCAGGAGGCCCAGAGAAAACUUCAAGUCAUAAACCUAUUGUCCUGGAAACCCUCACUUCCCCUAGCUGUGCCUCGGUUUCCCCAUCUGUAAGCUGAGGAACCUCAUCUAGCUCUAGAAAAAAAAAAGCAGCCCUUCUGCCCCUAAAAAAAGUCUACAAAGUCAAUCGUGAGACCAGACCUUGACCUGUUCCGUUUGGCGCUCUGGAUUGCGGAGCAUACCGAGGAGUCCUGGAUGGCAGAGCAGAUGCAACGGCACCCCUGAGCUGCCCUCAGGGGGUCCUCAGCCUUGGAGGAGGCAGGAGACCUGGGCUAUGGAGCCACUCACAGGCCCUACUGAGAACAACUUGGUGUCCAUCACAGUCCUCUUCAGAAUGCCCAGAAUAUGGGGAUAAGAAGGUGAAACCGGCAUGUUUAUUAACACAAUGGAAUAUUCUGUGGCCAAAUCAAAGGAAGACGUUGAGGAUUCUGGUGACACCUGGAAACGUACUGCUAAGGGAAAAAAGCAGGACCACAAUGUUAUGUGGAUAUUGACUGCGACUAUAUAUAAUGCCAGCGUGGACUUCUCAGAGAUGGAAUUUGGAGGAAUGUAAUACAGAUGCAAAUAGAGUUUUCCCCACAUUGCCUUCUCCCGCGGUGUUUCUUCAUCUCUGUCAACAGCCUUGCCACCUACUCUGUUGCCCAAACCAGAAACUUGAUUCAAACUACACUUCUCCCUCUGCCCUCAUGCCCCGUUCCUGUUAGUCACAAGUCCUGCUGGUUCCAGCUCUGAGACAGCUUUCAGAGUACUCCUCCUCCUGUUCCCACAUUCACAUCCCUAGGGGACUCUCUCCUCCCAGCGUGUCUGUUCCCCCGCAUGCCCCCCACGCUCUGCUCCCCUGGCACCUCUGCCAUGCUGCUGCCCCAGGGCAGAUGUGGCCAAGGGGCUCCUCUCCUCCCACUCCUCGUUUGCUCCAGGAUCAAGGACACACUUCUUGGCCCAUUGAAGGCCCUUCCGGAUCCACUUCCUUAGCCUAGGCUCUAGCUUCUCCCUGCUUGCAGCCAUGCAGCAGGAGGCUCUCUUUAUUCCUCUUUGCCUGUGAAGAUAGCUGCCUCUGGCAGGAAUACCCUUUGCUGCCUCAUCUGCCUGGUCAACUCCUAUCCCCCAUUUCAGAUUUUGCCCAAGACUUUCUAAGACAGUAGAAGAAAGGUUUCCACUCCUUUCCCCUCCUGAAAACUGUACAGAAACCACAGGAGAACAGGAAUAGAAGCCUGAACUCCGUCUUUGGUGGAACAUGGAGACCUCCCUACUCUUGAAUCUCAAUACGUGGAGGGGGAAGCUGCUGGAGGAGGAUAAAGCGCUCAGCAGAGAGGAGAAACAUCAAACCUCUGUACUUACCAGUGGGGAAGGCACUAUAGAAAUGAGCUGAUUUUCUCUACAGAGACCCAGAAAGGGUCCAGGAUCAGAGGCACCAGGUAUCACAGGAAGUGGGGCAGGACCUGAGAAUAGGGGUAGGGGGUAGUUUGAAAGUCUGUGUAAGGAGCAGUAGACUUCCAAGUCCCACUCCAUCCUAUGCAGCCAGGUGACUGUCCUCCUUACUCCCACGAGAGACCAGAGGUCCUGGUCUCAGAGAUGCCAAGUGUGAAGAGAAGGGGUGAGGUGUCCUAAUAAAGGCUCCCAGCCUCCUUCCCCACCCACCUCCAGGGUACCAGAAUCAGGCUUAUGCCUGCAUCCUGCACUAACCCCAUGCAAAGAUUGAAGUGUGUUUUCACUGGAGGAAUUAAACAAGCCCAAAGAAAUGACUGACAGAUGCUUAUGCUCAGGGGUCUGUAGCAGAUAAGCUGGUGGGAGCAACUGAGUGUCCAAUUAACAUGCCACACUCAGGCACUUCAUACCUCCAACUGGCCCUGCAGUGGGGAACCAUUAAAUACCAACACACACCCAAAGAUCACGGACACUUGAGGGACACUUUCUCUCAGUAUUCUGAGGAAGAUAUGAACCAAGAGGAAAUGGAGACUAUGCAGGGAGCAGAAUAUAAGGUUGAAGAAACCAUAACUGAUAUCCUUAGAGAGAUACAAGAACAUAUUGCACCCAUUAAAAAGUAACAGAGUGAAAUAAAAAAGAAAUAGAGAAAAAGAAAGAAUCCUUAAAAGUAAAAAUCCUGAUGGUAAAAAUUUUAAAAAUUAUCAAGAGUUGGAAGAUAAAGUUGAAGAACUUCCUCUGUACAUAUAACAAAGAGAGACAAAGACAUGAAGCAGAGAAGAGGCAGGAGAGAAAGUGUAAGCAAUUAGGGAUCAUGCUGGGCGUGGUGACUCAUGCUUAUAAUCCCAGUGCUUCAGGAGGCUGAGGUGGGAGGAUUGCUUGAGGCCAGGAGUUUGGGACCAGCCUGGGCAACAUAGUAGAACCACAUUUCUACAGAAAAUAAACAAAUUAGUUGCAUAUGGUGCACCUGUAGUCGCAGCCACUAGGGGAGGCUGAGAUAGGAGGAUCACUUGAGCCCAGGAGGUUUUUUUUCUUCUGUUGUGCUGGGAUUACAGGUGUGAGCCACCAUGCCCGGCCGAGCCCAGGAGUUUGAGACUGCUGUUGAGCCCUGAUCGUACCACUGUACUCCAGUCUGGGUGACAGAGCAAGACCUGUCUCUGAAAAAAUUUAUAUAUAAUUAAUGAAUCAAUCUAGGAGGUCCAACAUUCAGCUAAUAGGGGUCCCGGAAAUGGAGAGAGGAAGGAAUGAAAUUGUCAAGGAAAUAAUACAAGAAAAUUUCCCAGAAUUAAAGGACAUGUGUCCUAGAUGGUAAGAUCCACUGAGUAUCCAACUCAGUCAGUGAAAAAAAUAUCCACAUCCAGGCUCAUCAUUACAACCUUUCAGAUGCAGAGAUCAAGGUAGUUCUGUGAGGUUUCUGGAGACAGCUGGCUGGGACUUAGACGAGACAAGUGAGGCACUUGCCUUGUGGGUGGAAUUUAAGGGGGCACCAAAAAACUCAGUGAUCAAGAUAAAAAAAUUAAUGCACUAUUUAAAAAAGAGGCCGGGCGCAGUGGCUCACGCCUGUAAUCCCAGCAGUUUGGGAGGCUAAGGCAGGCAGAUCACUUGAGGUCAGGAGUUCAAGACCAACCCAGCCAACAUGGAGAAACCCCAUCUCUACUAAAAAUACAAAAAUUAGCUGGACAUGGUGGUGCACACCUGUAAUCCCAGCUACUUAGGAGGCUGAGGCAGGAGAAUUGCUUGAACCUGGGAGUUGAAGGUUGCAGUGAGCCAAGAUCGCACCACUGCAUUCCAGCCUGGGUGACAGAGCAAGACUCUGUCUCAAAAAAAAAAAAAAAAAGAAAAGAAAAAGAAAGCAACCCAUGAUAAACAAACAGCAAAAUUUUAAGUAAAGACAUGAUGGUCCGACAGGACUGGGAUUUGGGCGAUGUGAGUGAGGUCAAGCUGAAUAAGCGUAGGUUUGGAUCUCGUCUUUAUUUGAAAUUGACAUUUCAAUGGGUGAAUUUUUUGGCACUCCCUUGCAUGUUUGCAUCUCAGAUGGGUGCUUCACUCACUUCGUCCUAGUCCCAGCUCCGCACAGGAAACCUCUGGAGUGAUGGCAUCAGGCUGCUCAACAGUGACACUGGAAGUUUGAAGACAAGGAAGCAAUGCCUUUCAAAAUUCUGACUAAGACUGGCUCAUGAGCGGUGGCUUAUGCCUGUAAUCCCAGCACUUCGGGAGGCUGAGGCGGGUGGAUCACUUGAGGUCAGGCAUUGGGGACCAGCCUGACCAACAUAGUGAAACCCCAUCUCUACUAAAAAUACAACAAUUAGCCGGCUGUGGUGGCACAGGCCUGUAGUCCCAGCUGCUUCGGAGGCUAAGGCAGGAGAAUUUCUUGAACCCGGGAGGCCAAGAUCACACCACUGCACUCCAGCCUGGGAGACAGUGAGACUUUGUCUCAAAAUAAGCAAAAAACAGAUCUGACUGAAGAUGUUUUUCUAACUAGUAUUCCACACCAACCCAGACUGUCAGUUAAACAUGAUGGGAGAAAUAAAGAGCUUUCUAGACAUAUUGUGUCUUCAAAUAACUUGCCUCCUAUGUACCUUUCUUAGGGAACUGCUGAAGGAUGUGUUUAACUUAAAUCAGGGCUCCAAGAAAGAAGUUAGAUCCAGAAACAAGGACUGCAACAGAGGAGGGAAGAGAGAAGGGAAUUCCUUGGGUCAUGGCUCCAGGGACACAAGGAGACAGCUAUGCCUUGGACCAGAGAGCAAGCUGCCUAGAUCAGCAGAAGUCAGAAGGCUCUAGUGGCUGGGGGAGUUUGUCCUCAGGAAGAAAACUCGGCCUAACAAAUGAUCUGACAGGUUUGGUGAUGUGGAAAAUUAUAUUGAGGCAUGGAAAGAUUUCAUCAAUUGUUUUCAUCAUCAACAACAACAACAAACCGUACUAAGUUGAUGAAAAAUGAGGUAAUUGUUAACAGGAAGAACAAAAAGGAAAGGAAAUAAGAUCAUAGUGUGCUACUUGGCCCAGGAAUAAGAUAAUAUUUGUGUAUUUAUAAAAGUGAAAAUGUGGAAUGUGGAUUUUAAAAGAUUGAGAUAUUAUUUUGGGAGCAUAAGGGGAGGAAAAGAGGGAAUGGAAGAAAAAUUUCUCUAAACACAACGAGGCUGAGAUGACGAGCCAAGAGAUUGAAGAAUACACAUGUUAUUUAGUUUUAUAUAUUUAUUUAUUUAUUUAGAGACAGGGUUUCACUCUGUCACCCAGGCUGGGGUGCAGUCGCUUGAUCUCAGCUCACUGACACCUCCACCUCCUGGGCUCAAGAAAUCCUCCUGCCUUUGCUUCUCCAGUAGCUGGGACUACAGGCAUGUGCCACUGCACCUGGCUAAUUUUUGUAUUUUUAGUAGAGAUGGGGUUUCAACAUGUUGCCCAGGCUGGUCUUGAACUCCUGGCUUCAAGUGAUCUCACCAGCCUUGGCUGUCCAAAGUGCUGGCAUUACAGGCAUGAGCCACCGCACCUGGCUUAAAGAAUACAUGUAUUAUUUAGAGAUGGGGAUAGAAAUAACAGCAGAGACAGCUUUGGGGAAACAAGGUGAAAGGAUAGGAAACAGGAGACUUCCAUUUUCAAUUGUAAGCUUUUUGGGGCACUAUUUGGUUUUUCAGAUUUAUAGGUAAUACUUUGAUGAAAAUAAAAACAAAUUUAGACAAAUAGGUUUGGCUCAUAUUCUCUCCUCUAUGAAGGAAGAUGCCCCCCCACCACCCUGCUGUCCUGAGCCUUCUCUCUCUGUGACAACUUGAGCACAGGGCUUGUGUCCCCAGCACUGACACAUGGCCCUAUUCUUCAUUUACUCAAAGACUAAGUGAGUGAAUUUUUUUUUUAAAAUAAAGUUUGUCAAGUUCAGGAUAAUUUAAAAAACAACAAAACCCAACUUUUGAAGAGGUCAAACUGGGAAAGUUAUGCUGCACUCACAUCAAGGGGCACUUGUCUUUUACUGGCUGUUACAGGUGAUAAUGACACUUAUUUAUUUAUUUAUUCAUUUUUUUAUUUUUGAGGGUCCAGUGUGUUUGGGUGAGGUUCCAGGCCGGAUGGGAACACGGUGGGGUUAGAGGCAGAUAUACCUGGGCUCCAAGGUUAUCUCUGCCACUUACGAACU
rnacentral:lncRNA from 1 species